rnacentral:rRNA from 1 species
UGGGGAAUAUUGGACAAUGGGCGAAAGCCUGAUCCAGCCAUGCCGCGUGUGUGAAGAAGGUCUUCGGAUUGUAAAGCACUUUAAGUUGGGAGGAAGGGCAGUAAGCGAAUACCUUGCUGUUUUGACGUUACCGACAGAAUAAGCACCGGCUAACUCUGUGCCAGCAGCCGCGGUAAUACAGAGGGUGCAAGCGUUAAUCGGAAUUACUGGGCGUAAAGCGCGCGUAGGUGGUUCGUUAAGUUGAAUGUGAAAGCCCCGGGCUCAACCUGGGAACUGCAUCCAAAACUGGCGAGCUAGAGUAGGGCAGAGGGUAGUGGAAUUUCCUGUGUAGCUGUGAAAUGCGUAGAUAUAGGAAGGAACACCAGUGGCGAAGGCGACCACCUGGGCUCAUACUGACACUGAGGUGCGAAAGCGUGGGGAGCAAACAGG